GUUGUAUGGUUAAGUGACUAAGCGUACACGGUGGAUGCCUGGGCAGUCAGAGGCGAUGAAGGACGUACUAACUUGCGAUAAGCGCAGAUAAGGCAGUAAGAGCCGUUUGAGUCUGCGAUUUCCGAAUGGGGAAACCCAACUGCAUAAGCAGUUACUGUUAACUGAAUACAUAGGUUAACAGAGCAAACCGGGGGAACUGAAACAUCUAAGUACCCCGAGGAGAAGAAAUCAACCGAGAUUCCGGUAGUAGCGGCGAGCGAACCUGGAUUAGCCCUUAAGCACUCGGUGAAGUAGGUGAACAAGCUGGAAAGCUUGGCGAUACAGGGUGAUAGCCCCGUAACCGACGCUUCAUCGAGCGUGAAAUCGAGUAGGGCGGGACACGUGAUAUCCUGUCUGAAUAUGGGGGGACCAUCCUCCAAGGCUAAAUACUCCUGACUGACCGAUAGUGAACCAGUACCGUGAGGGAAAGGCGAAAAGAACCCCUGUGAGGGGAGUGAAAUAGAACCUGAAACCGUGUACGUACAAGCAGUAGGAGCACCUUCGUGGUGUGACUGCGUACCUUUUGUAUAAUGGGUCAGCGACUUAUAUUCAGUGGCAAGGUUAACCGUAUAGGGGAGCCGUAGCGAAAGCGAGUCUUAACUGGGCGCUCAGUCUCUGGAUAUAGACCCGAAACCGGGUGAUCUAGCCAUGGGCAGGUUGAAGGUUGAGUAACAUCAACUGGAGGACCGAACCGACUAAUGUUGAAAAAUUAGCGGAUGACUUGUGGCUAGGGGUGAAAGGCCAAUCAAACUCGGAGAUAGCUGGUUCUCCCCGAAAGCUAUUUAGGUAGCGCCUCGGACGAAUACUACUGGGGGUAGAGCACUGUUAAGGCUAGGGGGUCAUCCCGACUUACCAACCCUUUGCAAACUCCGAAUACCAGUAAGUACUAUCCGGGAGACACACGGCGGGUGCUAACGUCCGUCGUGGAGAGGGAAACAACCCAGACCGCCAGCUAAGGUCCCAAAGUAUUGCUAAGUGGGAAACGAUGUGGGAAGGCUCAGACAGCUAGGAUGUUGGCUUAGAAGCAGCCAUCAUUUAAAGAAAGCGUAAUAGCUCACUAGUCGAGUCGGCCUGCGCGGAAGAUGUAACGGGGCUAAGCAAUACACCGAAGCUGCGGCAAUGUCUUUUAGACAUUGGGUAGGGGAGCGUUCUGUAAGCCGUUGAAGGUGAAUCGUAAGGUUUGCUGGAGGUAUCAGAAGUGCGAAUGCUGACAUGAGUAACGACAAAGGGGGUGAAAAACCUCCUCGCCGGAAGACCAAGGGUUCCUGUCCAACGUUAAUCGGGGCAGGGUGAGUCGACCCCUAAGGUGAGGCCGAAAGGCGUAAUCGAUGGGAAACGGGUUAAUAUUCCCGUACUUCUGACUAUUGCGAUGGGGGGACGGAGAAGGCUAGGUGGGCCAGGCGACGGUUGUCCUGGUUCAAGUGCGUAGGCUUGAGAGUUAGGUAAAUCCGGCUCUCUCUAAGGCUGAGACACGACGUCGAGCUACUACGGUAGUGAAGUCAUUGAUGCCAUGCUUCCAGGAAAAGCCUCUAAGCUUCAGAUAGUCAGGAAUCGUACCCCAAACCGACACAGGUGGUCGGGUAGAGAAUACCAAGGCGCUUGAGAGAACUCGGGUGAAGGAACUAGGCAAAAUGGUACCGUAACUUCGGGAGAAGGUACGCUCUUGAUGGUGAAGUCCCUCGCGGAUGGAGCUGACGAGAGUCGCAGAUACCAGGUGGCUGCAACUGUUUAUUAAAAACACAGCACUGUGCAAAAUCGCAAGAUGACGUAUACGGUGUGACGCCUGCCCGGUGCCGGAAGGUUAAUUGAUGGGGUUAGCGCAAGCGAAGCUCUUGAUCGAA
rnacentral:rRNA from 1 species